rnacentral:lncRNA from 1 species
CUUUUCCAUAAUUGUUUGAUACAUUUCAAUAAAUGCAUGAAAAAAAAUUUUGAACCUUGACUUUAACUUCACACCAGGCAUUAAAACUAAUUUGAGAUGGGUCACAGAUUUAAAUAGUAAGGCUAAAUUUAAAAGUAGAAUAGCUUAGUAACCAAAGGAUAAAUAAAAGUUUAUAAAGACAGAAAAAUUAUUUAUCGUAAAAAAUUAUAAAUUAGAUUUUAUUAAAAUUAAUAACUGCUUAUUCAAAAACACAGUUAAGAAAUGAAAAGAUAGGGGUGCCUCGGUGGCUUGUUCAGUUAAGCGUCUGACUCUUGGUCUCAGCUCUGGUCUUGAUCUCAGGGUCAUGAGUUUGAGCCCCAUGCUGAGCUCCACACUCGGUGUGGAGCCUACUUAAAAAAAAAUUAAAAGGUAAGUCAAAACACUGGGGUGAAAUGUGGUAAUACAGAUAUCUGAUGAAGGACUUCUAUCUAGGAUAUACAAAGAACUCUUAUACAUCCAAAAGAGGCAACGAACCCAAUUUUUUAAAUGGUCAAAGGACUGGAACAGACACUGAACAAAUGGCCAAAAGCACAUCAAAAGGGUGCUUGACAUCAUUAGUCAUCAGGAAAUGCAAUUAAAAUCAUGUGAUAUUUCAUUUAACCACUAGAAUCGCUAAAAUUAAAACGAGCGAGAACACUAAAUAUCGGUGAAGAUUUAAAGUGACUGGAACUUUCACACACUCCUAGAGGGAGCAUACAAUGCUACUACCACUUGCUUUUUAUAAGCAGUUUCUUAUAAAGUUACACACCUACCCUGUGUCCCACUUAAUCCACUCCAAAAAGAAAUAAAACAUAUGUCCACAAAAAGAAUUGUACAAGAGUGUUUAUAGCUGCUUUCUUCAUAAUAGUUAAAACGUAAAAACUCAAACGUCUGUGAGCAAGUGAAUGGAUAAACUACAGCAUACAUACACAGUGGAAUACUGGCCAGCAUUUUUUAAAAAGAUUUAUUUAUUUAUUUAUUUGAGAGAGAGAGAGGAGAGCGCAUGAGUGGGAGGAGGGGCAGAGGGAGAGCAUCUCAAGCAGACUCCCGCUGAGCGCAGUUAUCACGGGCUUAAUCCUACCACCCAUGAGAUCAUGACCUGAGCCAAAACCAAAAGUCAGAUGCUUAACUCACUGACCAACUCUCGGAUUCUUUGGCUCAGGUCAUGAUCUCAGAGUCCUGGGAUCCAUCCGUGAGCUGGGCUCCACACUCAACGUAGAGUUUGCUUGGGAUUCUCUCUCUCUCCCUCUCCCUCUGCUCCUAUCCCCACUCACGCAUUGUGCAUUCUCUCUCAAAUAAAUAAAUAAAUCUUCAAAAAUAAUUAAAAAUGAAGUUCUGAUACCUGCAACAAUGAGGGUAAAUUGCAAAAAUAUGUUCAACAAAAGAAAGCAGAUACAACAAAGGUACAUACUGAUGAUUCCACUUGUAUGGGGUCCAAGAACAGACAAACUCAUUAGGAUAAAGGAGAUCACAGCAGUGGUUGAAUGUGGGGUGAUAGGAAUUGACAGGAAGGAGGAAUAAAGACCCUCUCUGGGGUGAUGGAAAUGUCCUCUCUCCAGAUCAGGGUGCUGACAGCAGAGAGGCACCCAUUUAUCAAACAUCAUUGAACUGCAUAGCUAAGAUAUAAGUUGUAUUUCACUGUAUGUGAAUUCUUCCUGAAUCAAAAUGAAUGUAUUCAUUAAAAGAAGGGGAUACCUUCCAUCUGGAGAAUCUGCCUGGGAGAAACACUGAACAGAGACAUGCUUUAAUGAAAAAGGCCAUACAAGGGAGCGGGUUAAGUGAGAAAAGCCAAAGGCAGAGGAAGAACCGUGGUCUGGCAUAGUAAGAAGAGAAACAGAGAAAACUGAGUCAGAAGGGGAAGGUACAAGCCAAACAGGAAGACACAAGUGAACUGAGCCUAAGAAGUAGAAACUACUUUUUGUGUUUCAAAAUAAUCCAGCUACCACGUUAAACCCCAACUAGAAUCCCAGGCAAUUUUAUUUGGAAAAUUGUCCUCUUCUUCCCUCAAUACCUCUGUUAAUCGAAUCAGAAGCAAGAGGAGGGGCGUUCAGUGGAGGUCUGAACCUCAACUCAUCCCUUUCCUUUUUUUUUUUUUUUUUUUAAGUCAACCCCCUUGAAUAGGAUACCCCUCCCAGGGCUAAUAUCCUGCCUGUGGCAUCUGAUCAUUGAUAAACAUCCCCAAUUCCCUGCAGUUUGCCAUUUAUAUAUUUACGUAUACAUGCUACACUAAUGAGAUUCACAAUCUAUUCACUCCCUUAGUAAGUGAAUGAAACUACAAUCACGAGUCCCUCGAGGGAGUAUCCUAGUUAGUGAAGCCCAAGCUGGCCUCAGGAACCAGAGAUAACAUUUCCC